rnacentral:rRNA from 1 species
CCAGACUCCUACGGGAGGCAGCAGUGAGGAAUAUUGGUCAAUGGUCGGGAGACUGAACCAGCCAAGCCGCGUGAGGGAGGAAGGUACAGAGUAUCGUAAACCUCUUUUGUCAGGGAGCAAUUGGCGCUACGUGUAGCGUUAUCGAGAGUACCUGAAGAAAAAGCAUCGGCUAACUCCGUGCCAGCAGCCGCGGUAAUACGGAGGAUGCGAGCGUUAUCCGGAUUUAUUGGGUUUAAAGGGUGCGUAGGCGGACGCUUAAGUCAGCGGUAAAAUGGGGGGGCUCAACCUCGUCGAGCCGUUGAAACUGGGUGCCUUGAGUGGGCGAGAAGUACGCGGAAUGCGUGGUGUAGCGGUGAAAUGCAUAGAUAUCACGCAGAACUCCGAUUGCGAAGGCAGCGUACCGGCGCCCAACUGACGCUGAAGCACGAAGGCGUGGGUAUCGAACAGGAUUAGAUACCCGAGUAUU